rnacentral:rRNA from 1 species
CACGGGGUUGCGAGCGUUGUCCGGAAUUACUAGGCGUAAAGGGCAGGCAGGCGGAUCCAUAAGUUUAUCGUUUAAGGCGUCGGCUUAACCGGCGUAGGGCGGUAGAUACUGUGAAUCUGGAAUGCGGUUGGGGAAGACAGAAUUCCUGGUGUAGCGGUGGAAUGCGCAGAGAUCAGGAGGAAUACCGAAGGCGAAGGCAGUCUUCCAAGCCGUUAUUGACGCUCAACUGCGAAGGUGUGGGUAUCAAACAGGAUUAGAUACCCGGGUAGUCCCUGAG